rnacentral:rRNA from 1 species
GGUUGAUCCUGCCAGUAGUCAUAUGCUUGUCUCAAAGAUUAAGCCAUGCAUGUCUAAGUAUAAGCAAUUACAAAGCGAAACUGCGAAUGGCUCAUUAUAUAAGUUAUCGUUUAUUUGAUAGUACCUUACUACAUGGAUAACCGUGGUAAUUCUAGAGCUAAUACAUGCUGAAAAUCCCGACUUCGGAAGGGAUGUAUUUAUUAGAUACAAAACCAAUGCCCUUCGGGGCUCUCUUGGUGAUUCAUGAUAACUUCUCGAAUCGCACGGCCCCGCGCCGGCGAUGGUUCAUUCAA